rnacentral:tRNA from 1 species
GCCCGGGUGGCUCAGUCAGUUGAGCAUCCGACUUCGGCUCAGGUCAUGAUCUCGUGGUUUGUGGGUUCGAGCCCCACAUCGGGCU